UCUGCGUAGUGAGUAGAUCUUUGCCUC
rnacentral:sRNA from 1 species